AGCCAUCAUAUUAAUUUACUAAGAAGUUAUUCACAAUAGUUGGUCUUCUAAUCAAAUAUGUACCUUUUAAAGUUGUUCAACUGUGCAAUUCUUUCCCUUCCCUUUUAUUGUAUGCUCCAAUUUUGUGUGCUUCUGCCUAGAUACUUGAAAUUAAAUAUCCUAAGUUUUUUCUAAAUUUUGCAAUAUAGAGCACAACUUAGGUUGAUUCUUAUAGGACACAUUGAUUGUAUUCAAUCUUUAAUAUUCUUCCCAUACAAAUUAAAUUGAUUCUACAACUUAACUUUUGGAGGCUUAGGGAUUGAAAAACGUGAAACAAAAAUUGAAUCAAAUUGAAAACACAAAGAUGAAAAACAAGGAGAAAGUUCAAUUCACAGAUGUAAGAACCAAACAAUUCCUCUUAUCAUAGUUCUCUAAAGAGUCAGAUCCAAGUUUGAACAAUUAACCGAUUCAACUAAUCAAUUAAACCAGUUUAUGAAUCAAAUCAAAAUAUCAUUCAAUCUAAUCCAUAUCUAAUUGUCAAGUCAAGAUUCAAUUGAUUCCUAAUUUGAUUCUUAAAAUCAGAAACACUAUUUACAAUCACAAAAUGUAAAUCUGAAAUUAGGGAGAAGAACAAACUCAAAGCUUUCAACUAUAGGUAGAAAACUCAAUUUGGAUUGUUUGAUUUUGAUUUCGUGAAUUAAUCCUCAAGAAUUAGUUCUCCAUUUAGUUUUCCAUUGAUGAAGAACAGAAAACACAAAUGGAAGGAGAAGAGGAAGAGGCAAUUUCGGAAAGUGAGAGAAAAGGAAAUGAAGAGACAAUUUCUAAAAUUGCAAACCAAACAAAUUAUUUUGUGUCAUGUUUAGAGCACAUUUAGGUUAUUUAUUGUAAAAUCUGAAGUAAAUAUGGGCCUAAAUGUGGGCUCUAGUUUGGUCCAUAGCCCAAUUUACAAAAGCUCAAGCAAAAACAAGGAAAAGCAAAUUUGUAUGGGUUUCUUUACAAAAAUUCAACAAAUCUACCCCACCUACUACAAAUUGUAGAAACUAGCAGAGAACUCCAAAUCUAGUAAACCAUAUGUCCGUUUUGAAACCCUGGAAAUGUAGAAUCCAAUGCAACUGAAUCAUACAUCCAAAGUGUUAAAGAAACAAGACACUCAAAAUUCUAUUUCAAAACAUAAGAUUAAACAAGAAUUAUCCUAAAAGGAAAAUGAAUCAUACAUCCAAAGUGUUAAACAAGACAUUCAAAAUCUAUUUCAAAAUAUGAAAGUAAACAAGAAUUACAAUCAAAUUAAAUCAUGGAUUAAGAAUGGUAAAAUUCUGACAAGUAUGUCUAUCACUCUUUCUCUCCAAGUGUUUAAGAAUUUGUUUACACUCAAAGGUACAUCAUGAAAGUAAGCAUUACCAUAGGUUUGACAAGCCCCUCAUUUAUACUAUUUGAAACACAUGUAACUAAAGAUCAAAAAGACUUUUAUUUAGCUUGUAAUGUGGCAAAGGUAAAGGUGCUAAAAGAAGGGAUACAAAGAUAUAAACCAAAGAGAAAAGAGAAGCAAUGGGGAAUGGGUUAAAAUAUAAGUAGAAAGCUACCUAUCAUUGAGCUAAAAUCCAACAUUAAUUCUUUAUUUCUCUUCUUUUCUUUUUCAUCCAAUUUUCUUUGCUAUUUCAUCAAACCACAAAUACUUGUUUUCUUUUCUUUUUUUUCCAUGCUUUUGUUUCAUACUACUUUCAAUCAACUUACAAUGCAUCAAAACCUAAGUAUUCGUCAAAUCAACUAAAAGCUCAAGCUAAUACCUCCACACUUAUUUUUAACCAAUUCUCAAAACAAUUCUAAAGCUCCUUUAAUCCCUAAGGUUGGGCAUGCCAUGGUUUUUCACUUUCAAGGCUUGUAAUGAACUACGAAAAUCAUGAAGAAAAAAUUUAAUAAGACUCAAAGGGGUAUACAAGUGGAAUUAAUGCAAGGUAUGUCAAUUUGGCUAAGUAGCUGAAAAUCAAAGAAGUCCUAAAUCAUAU
rnacentral:lncRNA from 1 species